rnacentral:rRNA from 1 species
GGGAGAAACAGGGGACCUUCGGGCCCUGCGCUAUCAAUAGCCUAGGUCGGAUAGCAGUUGGUGAGGUAACGGCUCACCAAGGCGACGAUCCGUAACUGGUCUGAGAGGAUGAUCAGUCACACUGGAACUGAGACACGGUCCAGACUCCUACGGGAGGCAGCAGUGGGGAAUAUUGGACAAUGGGCGAAAGCCUGAUCCAGCCAUGCCGCGUGUGUGAAGAAGGUCUUCGGAUUGUAAAGCACUUUAAGUUGGGAGGAAGGGCAUUAACCUAAUACGUUAGUGUUUUGACGUUACCGACAGAAUAAGCACCGGCUAACUUCGUGCCAGCAGCCGCGGUAAUACGAAGGGUGCAAGCGUUAAUCGGAAUUACUGGGCGUAAAGCGCGCGUAGGUGGUUUGUUAAGUUGAAUGUGAAAGCCCCGGGCUCAACCUGGGAACUGCAUCCAAAACUGGCAAGCUAGAGUAUGGCAGAGGGUGGUGGAAUUUCCUGUGUAGCGGUGAAAUGCGUAGAUAUAGGAAGGAACACCAGUGGCGAAGGCGACCACCUGGGCUAAUACUGACACUGAGGUGCGAAAGCGUGGGGAGCAAACAGGAUUAGAUACCCUGGUAGUCCACGCCGUAAACGAUGUCGACUAGCCGUUGGGAUCCUUGAGAUCUUAGUGGCGCAGCUAACGCAUUAAGUCGACCGCCUGGGGAGUACGGCCGCAAGGUUGAAACUCAAAUGAAUUGACGGGG